rnacentral:rRNA from 1 species
AACGAACGCUGGCGGCAGGCUUAACACAUGCAAGCCGAGCGCCCCGCAAGGGGAGCGGCCGCCGUGUGAGUAACGCGUGGGAACGUACCUUUUGGUUCGGAACAACUCCGGGAAACUGGAGCUAAUACCGGAUAAGCCCUAACGGGGAAAGAUUUAUCGCCGAAAGAUCGGCCCGCGUCUGAUUAGCUAGUUGGUGAGGUAACGGCUCACCAAGGCGACGAUCAGUAGCUGGUCUGAGAGGAUGAUCAGCCACACUGGGACUGAGACACGGCCGAGACUCCUACGGGAGGCGGCAGUGGGGAAUAUUGGACAAUGGGCGCAAGCCUGAACCAGCCAUGCCGCGUGAGUGAUGAAGGCCUUAGGGUUGUAAAGCUCUUUUGUCCGGGAAGAUAAUGACUGUACCGGAAGAAUAAGCCCCGGCUAACUUCGUG